AGACACUCCAUUUCUUUUAAAAAAAAAUCUAACCAACCCUAAAAUCUACCCUCUGUGCGCUGCAUUUGAUUCGACCAUUGCCCGCCCCAUUCCGAUUUGAAACAGAAGGGAUGAAGGCUCCGGCGGCGCAAUAUGUAGAGCCAACUGGAGGAGGCGCAUGCACGCGGUGGCGCAACACGCGCGGGGGAGGGCUUGGCUGCUGCAUCGCUGGGAGCUGGAUGCUGCUAGGGUUUUGGUUCUGUUUUUAGUUUAGGUUGGGCUUAUUGGGCUGGGGGAUUUUAGGCUAGUAGGGUAGAUUAAAUUUAGGUUUUGGGUUAGUGUAAUGGGUUUAUUUAUUUUGGGCUUUAAAUUUUUUUUAUUUUAUUUUGUAAUCUGAACUUUGGACUUUUAAUAUUAAUAUUUGGUGUCAAAGAAUCACCCACUUCUCCAUCA